GCCAGUAUGGUAUAGUGGUUUGAGUGUUGGACUGUGACUCUGGAGACCAGGGUUUGAAUCCCUGCUCAGCCA